AUUGAACGCUGGCGGCAGGCCUAACACAUGCAAGUCGAGCGGAUGGAGGGAGCUUGCUCCUGGAUUCAGCGGCGGACGGGUGAGUAAUGCCUAGGAAUCUGCCUGGUAGUGGGGGAUAACGUCCGGAAACGGGCGCUAAUACCGCAUACGUCCUGAGGGAGAAAGUGGGGGAUCUUCGGACCUCACGCUAUCAGAUGAGCCUAGGUCGGAUUAGCUAGUUGGUGGGGUAAAGGCCUACCAAGGCGACGAUCCGUAACUGGUCUGAGGGGAUGAUCAGUCACACUGGAACUGAGACACGGUCCAGACUCCUACGGGAGGCAGCAGUGGGGAAUAUUGGACAAUGGGCGAAAGCCUGAUCCAGCCAUGCCGCGUGUGUGAAGAAGGUCUUCGGAUUGUAAAGCACUUUAAGUUGGGAGGAAGGGCAGUAAGUUAAUACCUUGCUGUUUUGACGUUACCAACAGAAUAAGCACCGGCUAACUUCGUG
rnacentral:rRNA from 1 species